GAUGAACGCUGGCGGCGUGCCUAAUACAUGCAAGUCGAGCGAACGGACGAGAAGCUUGCUUCUCUGAUGUUAGCGGCGGACGGGUGAGUAACACGUGGAUAACCUACCUAUAAGACUGGGAUCACUUCGGGAAACCGGAGCUAAUACCGGAUAAUAUUUUGAACCGCAUGGUUCAAAAGUGAAAGACGGUCUUGCUGUCACUUAUAGAUGGAUCCGCGCUGCAUUAGCUAGUUGGUAAGGUAACGGGUUACCAAGGCAGCGAGGCAUAGCCGACCUGAGAGGGGGAUAGGCGACACGGGAACUGAGACACGGUCCAUACGCCUACGGGAGGCAGCAGAAGGGAAUCUGCCGCAAUGGGCGAAAGCAUGACGGAGCAACGCCGCGUGAGUGAUGGAGGUCUUCGGAUCGUAAAACUGUGUUAUUGGGGAAGAACAUAUGUGUAAGUAACUGUGCACAUCUUGACGGUACCGAAUCAGAAAGCCACGGCUAACUACGUG
rnacentral:rRNA from 1 species